ACGGAGGAAGGGGACUAUAAGGUCAAGCUUCGCAACCUUAUCAAGUUCCUCAGUGAGGGUGACAAGGCCAAGGUAUCCCUGCGAUUCCGCGGCCGGGAAAUGGCCCAUCAGGAGCUGGGCAUGGAACUGUUGAAGCGGGUCGAAGCCGACCUCGCCGAAUACGGUACCGUGGAACAGCAUCCGAAGAUGGAAGGUCGUCAGCUGAUGAUGGUCAUCGCACCCAAGAAGAAAAAGUAAUCUCCAGGGCAACGCCAGGCCUUGUGGUUACCUUUAUUUACUCUCUUAUGGAGUUACGAACAUGGCAAAGAUGAAAACCAAA
rnacentral:misc_RNA from 1 species